GAGCAGAAGACAAGGCAAGAGCUACCUCAGGGAGCCCCAUCAGUGGAAUGAAGGCUUAGGAAUAGAGUGACCACUCAUGGUUGGCUGAGUACUGUCUGCUGAGGCAAUCCACCAGAUCUUUGUUUGUUUCUGAAAGAGUAUUGGUGCCAUGAGUUACCCCUUGAGCAGAGCUCAUAUCUGCCCUGCCUCAACAUAGUGGAGGCGGUACCAGGAUUUGGCGCUGAUUGCCAAAUCUGGUUUGGAAGACUGAGGACAGCUGAGUGAAGAGGAUGCGGACCCUUUCUUGGUACUAGCAAUGGGAGCCUUCCAGGAUGAAGAUAAAUGUUGAACUAUCAGAAUGUCCAAGGUUGACUGGUAUUCUAUUUUCUGACCAGCUCUAAUAAAUAGGCAAGAAAGGCAAAGGACGGGAGAAGAGAAGUAGUACUAUGCCAUUUUGCAGAUAAAGAACUGAGGCACAGAGAGAUUAAGAUCACACAGGAAGUCUAUGGCAAAACCAGAAAAUGAAACCAGAUCACUGGAGACAGUCCAAUGGCUUAACUACAAGACUAUCCUUCCUUUCCAUUGACGCCUGUGCUUUGAUUUGAUUUAUUUAAUUUGCUUUAGACAAAGUUCUGCUAUGCUCCCCUGCACUCUAUUGUAA